ACGCUGGCGGCAGGCCUAACACAUGCAAGUCGAGCGGUAGAGAGAAGCUUGCUUCUCUUGAGAGCGGCGGACGGGUGAGUAAUGCCUAGGAAUCUGCCUGGUAGUGGGGGAUAACGCUCGGAAACGGACGCUAAUACCGCAUACGUCCUACGGGAGAAAGCAGGGGACCUUCGGGCCUUGCGCUAUCAGAUGAGCCUAGGUCGGAUUAGCUAGUUGGUGAGGUAAUGGCUCACCAAGGCGACGAUCCGUAACUGGUCUGAGAGGAUGAUCAGUCACACUGGAACUGAGACACGGUCCAGACUCCUACGGGAGGCAGCAGUGGGGAAUAUUGGACAAUGGGCGAAAGCCUGAUCCAGCCAUGCCGCGUGUGUGAAGAAGGUCUUCGGAUUGUAAAGCACUUUAAGUUGGGAGGAAGGGUUGUAGAUUAAUACUCUGCAAUUUUGACGUUACCGACAGAAUAAGCACCGGCUAACUCUGUGCCAGCAGCCGCGGUAAUACAGAGGGUGCAAGCGUUAAUCGGAAUUACUGGGCGUAAAGCGCGCGUAGGUGGUUAGUUAAGUUGGAUGUGAAAUCCCCGGGCUCAACCUGGGAACUGCAUUCAAAACUGACUGACUAGAGUAUGGUAGAGGGUGGUGGAAUUUCCUGUGUAGCGGUGAAAUGCGUAGAUAUAGGAAGGAACACCAGUGGCGAAGGCGACCACCUGGACUAAUACUGACACUGAGGUGCGAAAGCGUGGGGAGCAAAC
rnacentral:rRNA from 1 species